rnacentral:rRNA from 1 species
AUUGAACGCUGGCGGCAGGCCUAACACAUGCAAGUCGAGCGAGCGGCGGACGGGUGAGUAAUGUCUGGGAAACUGCCUGAUGGAGGGGGAUAACUACCGGAAACGGUAGCUAAUACCGCAUACCAUCAGAUGUGCCCAGAUGGGAUUAGCUAGUUGGUGGGGUAACGGCUCACCUAGGCGACGAUCCCUAGCUGGUCUGAGAGGAUGACCAGCAACGCUGGUACUAAAACCGGAUGCAGACUCCUACGAGAGGCAGCUGUGGGGACUUGGGCACAGUGGGCGCAAGCCGGAUGGAGCCGUGCCGCAUGUGUGAAGAAGUCGUUAGGGUUGUAAAGCACUUUCAUCGGGGAGGCGUUACCCGCAGGAGAAGCACCGGCAAACUCCUUGCCAGCAGCCGCGGUAAUAC